rnacentral:rRNA from 1 species
AGCCAUGCCGCGUGUGUGAAGAAGGCCUUAUGGUUGUAAAGCACUUUAAGCGAGGAGGAGGCUACUGAGACUAAUACUCUUGGAUAGUGGACGUUACUCGCAGAAUAAGCACCGGCUAACUCUGUGCCAGCAGCCGCGGUAAUACAGAGGGUGCGAGCGUUAAUCGGAUUUACUGGGCGUAAAGCGUGCGUAGGCGGCUGAUUAAGUCGGAUGUGAAAUCCCUGAGCUUAACUUAGGAAUUGCAUUCGAUACUGGUCAGCUAGAGUAUGGGAGAGGAUGGUAGAAUUCCAGGUGUAGCGGUGAAAUGCGUAGAGAUCUGGAGGAAUAGCGAUGGCGAAGGCAGCCAUCUGGCCUAAUACUGACGCUGAGGUACGAAAGCAUGGGGAGCAAACAGGAUUAGAUACCCUGGUAGUCCAUGCCGUAAACGAUGUCUACUAGCCGUUGGGGCCUUUGAGGCUUUAGUGGCGCAGCUAACGCGAUAAGUAGACCGCCUGGGGAGUACGGUCGCAAGACUAAAACUCAAAUGAAUUGACGGGGGCCCGCACAAGCGGUGGAGCAUGUGGUUUAAUUCGAUGCAACGCGAAGAACCUUACCUGGCCUUGACAUACUAGAAACUUUCCAGAGAUGGAUUGGUGCCUUCGGGAAUCUAGAUACAGGUGCUGCAUGGCUG